AUGGAGGUCUGCAGAGCAACAGUUUGUCCUCCCUUCUUUCUGCUGCCAUCAUAUGAGAGAACACCCUCUCUGAUACCUAUGUUCUCAUGCUGCUACUGCUUGGAGUGCCCUAUGUGUGUUGAAGCCAACAUGUGUGGCUGCAUAUGGGAUGAACUUGCAACUGCAGUGUCCAGAUGGCUAUCAUGGAAUGAUGCAAUGAAAGGAAGAAAUAAUCAUUUAGAGCAUCCUGUUCAAGAUCAGAAUUCAGUGGCGUGGUGAACACUGGUUACACAGACUUGCCAAGUAGAAUGGCUACUCAAGCCAGUAGCAUUUAUUCCAAUAACAUCUUGAAAUUAUUAAAGCUAUUUCUCCUGAUAAAGAAUAUUUUCAGUUUGAACAAAAGGAUGAUUUCGAUUAUGGGGCUAUUUAUCAUGUCAUUAGAAGAAUUUUGGUAAUGAAGGUGAGUUUCAACACCACUUAAAAUUUUUUGAUUAUAAAAUUAGAUGUGUUGUAUGAAAGCAGAGAUUUUGCUAGUGAGUUUAGCCAUUCCAUGAAAAAACAUUACUUGUCCAUAUGAUAACAUGAACUGAGUUUCUUGCAUGUUUCGAACACUGAAA
rnacentral:lncRNA from 1 species